AGCGAACGCUAGCGGCGGGCCUAACACAUGCAAGUCGAGCGCAUACCUUCGGGUAUGAGCGGCGGACGGGUGAGUAACGCGUAGGUCAUCUACCCUUUGGUGGGGGAUAACCCAGGGAAACUUGGGCUAAUACCGCACGAGGUCUACGGAUCAAAGCCUUCGGGCGCCAGAGGAUGAGCCUGCGUCGCAUUACCUAGUUGGCGGGGUAACGGCCCACCAAGGGGACGAUGCGUAGCUGGUCUGAGAGGAUGAUCAGCCACACUGGGACUGAGACACGGCCCAGACUCCUACGGGAGGCAGCAGUGGGGAAUAUUGCGCAAUGGGGGAAACCCUGACGCAGCCACGCCGCGUGGGUGAUGAAGGCCUUCGGGUUGUAAAGCCCUGUCGGGAGGGACGAAUUCUUGACGGUACCUCCAAAGAAAGCACCGGCUAACUCCGUGCCAGCAGCCGCGGU
rnacentral:rRNA from 1 species